rnacentral:misc_RNA from 1 species
AACGCACGAGACCUGCGGACCUGCGGAAGGAUCAUUAUUGAAUAAACUUGAUGUAGUUGAGCUGACUCUCUCGGGAGUAUGCGCUCGCUCGUCAUCUUUAUCUUUCCACCUGUGCACUUUUUGUAGAUUUGGAUAUAACUGUCCGAGGCAACUCGGUUGGGAGGAAUGCUGUCUCUGAUGGCUUUCCUUGUAUGUCCAAGUCUAUGUUUUCAUAUACUCCAAGUAUGUAACAGAAUGUAU